GUACUGUCUUUGUGCUAAGGUGCAUCUAGUGCAGAUAGUGAAAUAGACUAGCACCUACUGCCCUAAGUGCUCCUUCUGGCAUAAGGGGCUGUAAUAUG
ensembl:miRNA